AAGACUAUACUUUCAGGGAUCAUUUCUAUAGUUUCUGACUUGAGAAAUGUGUUUCUAAAGUGUUUGGUCUCGCCAACCAUGAAGAACAGUCAUGAUAUUCCCUUCUGAGCUUCUUCCUUAUGUCUUCUGAA
rnacentral:snoRNA from 1 species